CCCUUAGAUGUUCUGGGCCGCACGCGCGCUACACUGACUGGUUCAUCGAGUAUACGACCUUGACUGAUAGGUCUGGGUAAUCUUCUCAAAGCCAGUCGUGCUGGGGAUAGAUUAUUGUAAUUUUUAAUCUUCAACGAGGAAUUCCUAGUAAACGCGAGUCAUCAACUCGCAUUGAUUACGUCCCUGCCCUUUGUACACACCGCUCGUCGCUACUACCGAUUGAAUGGCUUAGUGAGCUUUCUGGACUGUUGCACUUCGUUGGAAACUUCGUUGUGCAUACGGGAAGGAAAUCAAACUUGAUCAUUUAGAGGAAGUAAAAGUCGUAACA
rnacentral:rRNA from 1 species